CUAUGCAACAUAGUGAGACCCUGUCUCAGAAAGGGAGGGGGGGAGACAGAGAGAGAGAGAGAUCAUGUUCGCAAUUCAUCCACUCAGUGUUCACUGAUGCCUCUCCAUCCUCCACUGUCCUCCCCCCCAUUACCUGCAUGCAGGAAGAUUAUGUGACCUUGGGAAUGUCCAGAUGUCACAAUGGACAGUUACUCAACAGUUACUAAGCAUUGGCACAUGCCAGGUAGGGGCUAGGCCGUGGGGCUCCAGUGUGGAGACUCACCACGGAGAUGGCCACGUGCACAGUCACAGAACAGACGCCUGCUGCGCGCUGACAGCUCCUCUCCUGGGUCUCCACCGCCGGCGGCUGCUUCCUUCUGGGGUCCCGCCCGCAGCCCGAGCGCUGCCCCCACCGAGCAACUGCGGCAGGUGCGGAUCUCCCCGGCCCACACCAGGAGUUAGAGAAUAAAACCCCAGCACAAUGUUCCCACUGGGAGACGCCAGCCCGGCUGAAGACAGCACUGAGGCAGUGUCGCCCCAAUGCUCGCUGCCAGAAUUAUAUGAAUUAGUGAAGAAUUUCAGUAAGAAGAGCAAGAAAUCAAAUCUCCUAAAAACAUGUGGUAUUACACUUGAUGAAGCACAGAAAAUGCUUACUGAAAACCUGAACACCGCGGCCUUUGCCAGGGGCGCUGUCACGGUAAGAGAAGAUCCCCAGCGUGUUUUCACGAGCAAGACGGUGAAAAAGGAGGAGGAGAAGCAGGUGGAGGCCAUGGCGGCGCUCCUGCACCGCACCCUGCUGGCGGGCUCGCAGUCGCCAGAGGAGCAAGGGCUCGCCCGGUCCCGGCAGAGGCUGUGGCAGUGCGGAAUCCCCGCGCCUGCGCACACCUUUCCUCGCGAGAUUCUUGAGGAGCACGCGAAGGCUAUGACCCGGUUGGCCAACCUGAGGAAGCUUCAGAGCACCAGAGUUUUAUGCAGGCUAGGCAUUCCCAAGGUCACCCCGGAAAAGUCCACCUUUGAAGACAAAAUUCCUAAAUACCUCCUAGUUGACUCAGGUAGUGGGAGAGACAGAAGGAACAGAUUUAAAGGAACAGGUUGACUACUCUGAGCACAUUUGGUCCAAAGAACCGAAAGAGCCUUUGGUGUAACUCCUGACAUUGACAUCUUGAUAGCGCUUACUGCAGAAAAACAAUUCUUGGAUCUAAAGGAUCUGGAAUGGAGAUACUUUAAAGGUCUUGCAAAGUGGAAGCACACUAGGAGGCCUUCGUUGCUAGACAUAAAAUACGACACUGAGAAGAGAUUUGUAGAGAGCCAGAAUACGCCUGGGAUCAUUUUCCCCCCUGUAAUUCGUAAAUCAUUGGUUGUUUAUCCUAAAAUUAUUUGUCAAAAAGAAGGAACUAGUUCUCUUAAAUGAGAUAUGUAGUUUAUUAAAAUAUUUUACAUGUAUAUUUUUGCUUUUGAGAGCAUUCAAUCUACACAUAAAAA